CAGCCGCCGCGGUAAUACGUAGGGGGCGAGCGUUGUCCGGAAUAAUUGGGCGUAAAGCGCGCGCAGGCGGUCCUUUAAGUCUGAUGUGAAAGCCCACGGCUCAACCGUGGAGGGUCAUUGGAAACUGGGGGACUUGAGUGCAGGAGAGGAGAGCGGAAUUCCACGUGUAGCGGUGAAAUGCGUAGAGAUGUGGAGGAACACCAGUGGCGAAGGCGGCUCUCUGGCCUGUAACUGACGCUGAGGCGCGAAAGCGUGGGGAGCAAACAGGAUUAGAUACCCUGGUAGUCCACGCCGUAAACGAUGAGUGCUAAGUGUUAGAGGGGUCACACCCUUUAGUGCUGCAGCUAACGCGAUAAGAACUCCGCCUGGGGAGUACGGCCGCAAGGCUGAAACUUAAAGGAAUUGGCGGG
rnacentral:rRNA from 1 species